rnacentral:ribozyme from 13 species
GUGGUCAGCGACGUGGUCAGGAUCGCAAACCCCGCGCGGGGCAUAGUGAACUUGAGCCGCUCAAAGCACUCGUCGGCGGGGAUGUCCUGGACCUCCGUAGCUUGCCGCCAAGUAUCCGAUAGCACGAAUAUGUCGUCGCAACCGAUACCCAAGA